AUUGAACGCUGGCGGCAGGCCUAACACAUGCAAGUCGAGCGGAGCGGCGGACGGGUGAGUAAUGCCUAGGAAUCUGCCUGGCCGUGGGGGAUAACGUCCGGAAACGGGCGCUAAUACCGCAUACUAUCAGAUGAGCCUAGGUCGGAUUAGCUUGUUGGUGGGGUAAAGGCCUACCAAGGCGACGAUCCGUAACUGGUCUGAGAGGAUGAUCAGUCACACUGGAACUGAGACACGGUCCAGACUCCUAAGGGAGGCAGCAGUGGGGAAGAUUGGACAAUGGGCGAAAGCCUGAUCCAGCCAUGCCGCGUGUGUGAAGAAGGCCUUCGGGUUGUAAAGUACUUUAAGUCGGGAAGCGUUACCGGCAGAAGAAGCGCCGGCUAACUCCGUGCCAGCAGCCGCGGUAAUAC
rnacentral:rRNA from 1 species